GCCGGAAUUGCUGUAAUGGCAGGUCAGCAUACUGCCGUGAAUACGUUCCCGGGCCUUGUACACACCGCCCGUCACACCAUGAGAGUUGGGGAUACCCGAAGCCUGUGAGCUAACUUUAGGGGGGCAGCAGUCGAAGGUAGAAUCAAUGAUUGGGGUGAAGUCGUAACAAGGUACC
rnacentral:rRNA from 1 species